rnacentral:tRNA from 1 species
CCUCUCAUGGCGUAGUGGUUAACGCGCCCCAACUAGAGACCGGGGAGUCGUGAGUUCGAUUCUCACUGAGAAGA